rnacentral:tRNA from 1 species
CCCUGGCUGGCUCAGUUGGUAGAGCAUGUGACUCUUGAUCUCUGGGUCAUGAGUUCAAGUCCCACGUUGGGUG